UCUUCAGUGUUCUUCUGAAGGCUAUCAGAGAUGGUGCAUCUCUUACUUUGACAGGGAGUACAUUCCACACCCUGGGACAACUACAGAAAAGGCUCACCACUGAGUCAUCACAAGACUUGUGCUUUGUAACCAAUUUCCAAAGAUAGAACAUUGCACAGCAUCAUCUUUUAUGAAGGGCAGUCGUGCAAAUUAGUUUUUUUACCUGAGAAUAUACAAAAAUGGUGACUAGGAAAGGAUUGGGCCCCUGUGUAUUUGUGCUGAUCUUCAUAAAUGGUUCACAUCCCUACUGUGAACCGGGAAAUCAGUUUUCAAUACAAAAUGCAUUGUAUGAGGCAGCCCUUGUGUUUAUGCAUAGUUCCCUCUUACCAUUCUUCCCCACUCCACCUUUCUAGCACACCAUCUUGCUUAAACAGAGCUUUCAAAGAGAAAGCUGUCCCCUGUUGGGAUGGCAAACAAGCAUUUUCCUUUCCUUUUCUCUUUGAUUUCUUUAAAUUGUACACCUUUCUGGUAUAGUAGAUAGAGGCUUCCUCACUGCCCUGAAGUAUCGCUUCUUCUCUUGUCUCCCGAGACUGAUCCAGCCAGGAGUGUCUGGAGGGCACUUGACAGAAAAGAGAUUUAUCACCAUGCUCUUUAGUCGAGAGUACCUUUAAGGUAGGCCCGUCUCUCUUGGAAAUGUCACUUGUGACCGAUAAGUCUUGCAUUGAUAUCACAAUGCAAGGUCAGACAAAGACAAGUGGGAGGAGUUCCUGUUUUCAUCAUGUCUUCUCAUAAAUACGGUUCUAUAAAAUCACAUCAAGACUGAGGAACACAGCAGAGAGGCUGCAACAUGACAAUGAGAGGCAGAAGGUUUGUGAGCUUUUGCCCUUCACAAGUGGCUGCAUGCUAGCAUACUGAUAGAGAUUAAGAGAAUCCAUCCUGCAAGACACAGCAGUAUCAGUUAAAGUGGGUGGACUUAUUUGACAUAGUCCUCGGCUAGUCCAGGGACACCUUUAUUUAGCCUCUUGCUGGAAGAGAACGUUUUGUACUUUGGCAAUGUUGGCCUUCCUUGCUCUGUGGAUUAAUGGAAACAUACAUCAGGGUUUAAAAGCCCCCAGUGAUAAUCUGUAAAUAUGCUUAGGCACUGUCUCUCGGCAGCACCUCUAGGGAAUCCUUUUCUCUCUGCUUCAUGAAGAUAAAUCAUUAUUAAAAUUCUGAGGCAUCCUUAGCUGUUGGAGAUGGAGACUAUGAGAACAGUAGUAGUACUAGGGCUUCCAUGCACUCGGAGCAUGUAUGUACAUUUAUUCCUUCACCUCCUACUGGAGUAGGAGGAGUGAGGUGAAGAUGAGUAACAUGACAUUUUUGGCACUUUAAAAUAAGCAGAGCCACUCACUGUGUGCCACUGAUAUUUAAAAAGGACAGAAAAUCUGAUAAGAAAGCUGAGGUAAGUCUAGAGAGACAUUCGGGACACAGAUCAGUUUUAAUCCUUAUACAAAGAGUGCUUGUUCCUGUUAAUUACCUAGUGUCUACUUUUCAGGUUAGACCUUCCUGCAUUGCCUGAUUACAGGUAGUAUACCAGCAAAUAGUAAAUGCAUUCUAGAACAAAUGAACCCAAAAUUGCCAGUAUAGUUCUAAGAACAAUUAAAUGUAAAUUCUCUACUCUGUUGCUACCAGAUUACUGUGCAUAUAUUUAUGUGGAGUGCUGGCACUUUCAAUUUAAAUUUAAAUUUUGCAUUUAAUGCGCUGUAAAGCAUUGAGGGGAAACAGUAACAUCAGUGGGAGAGCUGACUAAAUUAAAAUGAACAAGCCUUGUGCACCAUCAGCAAUAACAAUAGAAGUGUCAUCUAUUAUUUCUGUUUAUAUGUAGCAAUAUCUCUUCCUAUAAACAAGGCACCGGAGCAUUGAAUUAAUCAAUAGAGCAGAUUGGCUGGAUGUUCAUAGAUUCUGUUUCGAAAGAGUUGUGUAGUUAUGUCUCUGCACGUCGGUGACAUGGAGACUAACCAACUCAUAGUGGAAUGGACAGUCCCUGAACUAGAUCUUGCACUUUUGUGGGAGCAGUGCAGUGGCUCUCAUACAGCAUAAGCAGCCAUGCAUGUUGUAACACAGUGUGCACACAUGUGGCUGUGGAUGUGUGCAGGACUGCACUUGUGCAACUGUGUGCACGCCGUGUUACAAUGUGCACAGCUGCUUGCUUGCACAAUGCUGUGAGUCACUAUCCUGUGCUCUCCCACUCUGUGCAUUUGGACUCGAGGCUGCCCUGCAUGAUGCCAUCUAUCUCUUUAAAUUGCUGCAAUAUGUUGCCAUACAUUGUCUGGAAUGUUUUCUUGCUUUCCCCCUCCCUGCUGGCACUACUACUAUGAAUACUUAUAUACCGCUUCUCAACAAAAGUUCUCAAAGCAGUUCACAUAGAAAAAAUAAAUGUAAGAUAGUCCCCUGUCCCCAAAAGAGCUCACAAUCUAAAAGAAACACCAGGGAGACACCAGCAACAGCCACUGGAGGGAUGCUCUGCUGGAGCUGGAUAGGGCCAGUUGGUCUCCCCCUGCUAAAUAUAAGAGAACCACCACUUUAAGUGGUGCCUCUUUGUCCUACCAGAGCCUAUUUAUUUAUUUAUUUGUGAAUUUGUAUAGUUUUGCACCUGUGUACCCAUCUACUUAGAGACCUUGCUUGUCUUGUCUGCUAAGCCUGGAUAUUUAAAGCCUAGAUAUUUUAGGAAACCCAGACUCAUUUGCUUAGUGAUCCCAUCUCAAUGUUAUCUUCUUGUGAUGAAUCUGAGCCUGCGUUUGCUUGGGUUCUUAAUAACAAGAACAGCCCGGCUGGAUCAGGCCCAAGGCCCAUCUCGUCCAGCAUCCUGUUUCGCACAGUGGCCCACCGGAUGCCGCUGGAAGCCACAGGCAGGAGUUGAGGGCAUGCCCUCUCUCCUGCUGUUACUCCCCUGCAACUGGUACUCAGAGGCAUCCUGUCCUUGAGGCUGGAGGUGGCACACAGUCCUCAGACAAGUUAGCCGUUGAUAGACCUCUCCUCCAUGUAGUUAUCCAAACCCUUCUUAAAGCCAUUCAGGUUGUUGGUUGUCACCACAUCUUGUUAUUAUUUUGAUAUUAUUGAUAUCAAAUUGAUAUUAUUUAUCAAUAAUAAAUGUGCAGCCUGCUUGCUCUGAGCCAUGACAUGUUAAAAAUGCUGGGCUCCAUCUGGGAGAUUGCAAGGCUUCUUGGGCCUGCAAAAUAAGUCCCUUGUAUACAGAGAGCAACUAAGGUCUCCUCUCCAUUGUCUAAGCCAAAUAAAAGGUGUGACCAGGUACUCUGUAGGGGAAGGACAUCGUAUGCAUCCUCUGACUCCUUUCCCUACCAUUUUCAAUUAAAAUGUUAAUAAAUAUUGGUGCCUAGAAAUGAUUGUUACCUUUGCUUGAUGUCAUUAAUGGCGCACAUGCUGGAGGGUGGGUGGGUGAGUAGGUGGCUUGUCUCUUUUAUCAAGCUGGAAAUUGAACUUUAAGAAAGAGGUGAGAUUGGUGUGUUAGAGAGCUCAUUUGCCUUCACUUAACCUGAUAUGAGCCUAGAAACCACAUAGCAUGAGGGGAGCUGCAGCUGCACUGGACCACAUGCAGUUCAGAAACCUUCUGCCCAAGUUUAAGGUGGUUUGAACAAUGCAUACUUGCCCUGCCCUCCAAGCCCCGCUUGGCAAACAGCUUCUGCUAGACAGAGAAGUAAGCCAGCUCGAAACCAUGGUUUCCUUUAUGAAAAAUAAGUUUGUAACCAUGUUUCCUGCAAGUCUGCUUCAAAAAUAUUUUAACAAAUCUUAGCCUCCAUAAGCCACUUGUGCUGCUUAAAAGAAAAUGACAGGAAAAUGUAGCAUAUCCCCCCCACCCCCCACCCCCACUGUUGCUUCUCGCAAAGUUAAAGUCAAGCCGGAGGACUUAGCUGGGCUGCUUAAAGACUAAAGCAGUGUUGUACCAAGAGAGCUACCUGUGAAGUACCUUGGAGGAGUCAGCGGACUGAGUGCUUAAGAAGAGCAUUCAGACUUUGUAUGAAUUACCAGAAGGUGGCCCUAAAGCUCAAGGAUUUAUGUGAGAGCUCCGCAGAGUUUUCAUAGUGAAAUUUAUGUUCCCUCAGCAACCCUUUGUUCAGUAGAAUGAACUGCAUACAAAGUGCUCCUUAGAUUUUUGCAAGAUUAUCAGGCAAAGUGCACCACACCAAGUAACUAAUCUGCUUCAAACGGCAAGGAGGAAAAAAAUGAAUUGAAAUACCGACAUGCACCACAGCAACAUUUAAAAAUGUGUCCAUCAGGAGGGCAUGCCUGUAAAGUAAUCCCCUUCUGCCACAGGAUGGAAAGUUGUAGUAGCCCACCAGCUGAAGGCCACAGGGUAGAACAAUAGUCUUCCGGCACCACUGUUUGAGCUUGACCUUGCAGGCAGAACUGGAAGCACCGAACAAACAGUACCCCAUUAACCCAUUCCUGCAAGAUGACUCAGGAUAUCACUCUGGGCAUGUAUGUACAUGUAUUCCUUUACCUACUGAAAUUGGGACUGGCAUCACAGAGACGUCAGUGAGCCAGAAAGGAGUGAGGUGAAGAUGAGUAACAUGACAUUUUUGGCACUUUAAAAUAAGCAGAGCCAAGAGGUCCAAGAGAACUAACAUGGAUGCACUCUCACUGGCUCGUCUUCUGGUGCAGAUAACCCAGCGAGGCAACUAAAGCAGGUUGUUUCAGAACUGUCCAGGAGCCAGUUUAGAAUGGAUCCACACAAUCCGUUUCAUCCAUUUAUAUUGUGAAACUGAGAUGACAGCACAUGCUCAAACACCUUAUCUAAAUAAAGAGGAUUUGACUUGGGCAAUAGUUCUUACAUCACCUGGAUCCAGAUUCUUUUUUUUUCAGGAGAGAGUCUUGCCACAGCCUGCUUCAGGGACUUAAGCACCAAGCCCUCAAUGAGGGACUGCCCACCUCCAAAACCCAGAUAGACCCGGUCUGAUAUCUGUAAUCAGCUAGUAUGGAUGAAGGUAAAGUGUGAGGUACUUGCCUCUGCUCACCCAGCAGCCUGUUCAGGUUGUUAGAUGAAGGAUAUCCAUCAUAAGACCAGUCAGAGCCAUAGGUAACACCCUCUCUGCCACAAAUGGAACAGAUGUGAAAAAUCUUAUCUGCAAAAUGUUUUGCAAACUGGUGAUAAUGGGUUACCAAGGAUCAACUCCGUUUGUAGGCUAGGGUGUAACUGACCUUUCAUCACCCAGGAAAACUCUGCUGGCUGACACUGAGCAGAUGCAGUGGUUGAAGAGAGAAAAACACCACCAUCAUUACCAAGAACUAGAUCCUAAUAUAGGCUCUAGCCUGUGUUUGGCUGGAUUUGUCCCAGGUUUUCUGCUCUUUGCACUCUGGCUGUUGGCCUAUUUAUUUAAUUGUUCCAAACUCCUUGGAAAACCAAGGAAAACCAAGGAGCUAGUUGGAAUCUGUGACUUGGGAGAGGGUGUCUAGCUAUUUAAAACUGAAGAACUUGUCUUGUAGGUGUUCAGAUUUUUAGCAACCUGAAAAUAGAUCAAACCCCAAUUUUCAGUCCAUAAAGAUCCUUAAAUAAUUUCAAAAUGAAGAAAAAGCUGUAUGCAUGUUUCCUUCUAUUUAGAAAUAAACAAAAUAUACAUAUUUUAUGCUUCCCUAUAUGCCAACUCAUUGUCCUGUUUAACCUGUUAUGUAAAUUCCUUUAGAAAGACUGUGACAGGUUUUAAUUCAAAAAAUUGUAAACCACAUUGCCACCAACGCACACCCAGUUAAAAAAAAUCAUGCAAUACGGGGCCAAGAAGACAACGCAAGCAAAUUAAAAUCCAUAUAAAAUCAAUAAGAUACUUGUGCCUUUAUAUUCAAUAGGUAUGGCUAGCUUUGGGUUGGGGGUCAGUGGCCCACAUGAUGCUCAAGUCAACCCCAACACACAUCCAUUUAAGACAUGGAUGUAUUAAACAGCAACAUGCUUAUGGAAAAAGGUUUGAAACGUUACUGAAUUUAUGAAGAAGGAAGGAGGUAGGGAAGAACAGCUGCAUUGAGUCUCAUUAACCAUACAUUUCAUUGGCUUCAUUCUAAAUGUCCCUAAUAUCUUUUUAAAAAUCUCUCUUGUAUUUUUUCAAUGACAGCCUAAACUAAAAAGUUAAUUAUUAUGCAUAUGGGGGAAUAAAUGCAGAAGCACUGCAUUUUAACAUUCUCUAUUUAUAUGUUGUACAAACCCUAUUUGUUCUACUUAGCAAUGGUUGACUACCACUGAAAACAAUUCUGGGUGAAAAUAACUUAUUUUGACCAAAUAAGGAUUCCAUCUGGGGUAAAUCUAUGUAAUCUCAUGUUGCUAAUUUAACACAAUCAUUGCACAGUAUACAUACCAUAAAUAUUUGCAGAGUGAAAUUACACUGGUGAGUUGAGAUUAUUUUAGAACACUGGUUAGCAAGGAGUAUUUACCAACUGUUUCAUACUGAAGAUUCUCCAUUAGUUCUAAUCUGGAAUAUAGGACUUGCUUUUAAUUGUUUUAACCACAACAGGUCAUCUGUAGUAUUCACUUCCUUUCCCUCUGUCUUUCUUCUUUUCUUUAAAAAAAAACAACCCCAAAAAACCCAUACAUAGUGCUGUUGGUGUGACCCACACUGGAUCACAAUUCACCAUCAUUUCUUCUAGGGCAUUGAAAAAGUAUAUGCUAGAUGGCAAUGCAAUCUCUAUGCAAGUGGAAGAGUCAAAUCUACUUUUAUCAUGUUAUAGAAAUGUGGAUCUUUGUUGACAGCCUUUAUAUAUAAAUUUGUAAAAACAAAAGUAUGAUAUUCUAUUAGAGCCCAGGGUCUCAUCAUCAGACCCAAAGGUUUGGCCUUUUGUAUUCUCAAGAGGGAAAUUCCACAUGUGGAAACUUCAUAGUUCCCUGUUACUGGAAUAGUAAAUCAGUGUUUAGAAAGUCAAAAGCUAGUACUAGUUUAGAUUGGAGAAAAUACCUUUUGCAGAAGUUUAAUUCAAUUACAUUUUUCCUUUCUAAAGGUUAUAGAUGGGAAAUAUUUCAUACAAAGGUGCAUCCCCCCCCCCGCCCUGCAUCCCCACUGCUAAAAAUUCAGUCAUUCAAAGUCCCUUAUGAGGUUGCAGGUUUUCAAUUUUGGUGAUAAUCUUUUUUCUGUGUACAAGUAUUUGCUUGGAUAGUUAUCUUUAAAAUUGAUCAUUAUGUGUAGAGGCUUGCAGACAUGAAAUUCUUUCAAAUAUCAGGAAUAUUAAUUAGGUUCAUGAAAUAUUCAGGUAGAAGCAUAUUAAAAUCAUUCUCAUUUUAAGAGGAAAUCAAGUUGCUAAAAGACGGCAGUCAUCUCACCAGAACAAUGUCAGCUCUAGGCCUAGGUGGGGGAGUUCUAUAAACCAGAGUUUUAUUUCUGGAGUGUUAUAUUUCUUAGCAGGUUCAUGUCUGUAUUUCCCUUUCUGCAAUACAACCCAGAUAACAUCAUAAUUUUUAAAUAUGUCAUGAAAUUGAAUUGCAGGUUGUAUUUCCUGAAAGCUCUGCCAUCCUGCAGAACACUUUUUUUUUUUUAAUUUUCCCACCCCACCUCCACAAAAAAGGGCAAUGAAAACUUGUAAAUAAAGAAAUGUGCCAUGUAUUUUUCCACACAAAUAUAAUAUUAAAGUGUUUGUAUAUAUAUGACAGUAAAUGCUAUCAAUUCAUAUAAGCUUAUUAAAGAAUACAAAACACAUUCUGUUGUAAACUUUAAAGAAUAUUUAAUAACUUUUUAAAAAAUAAUGUAUAGUUUUUUUCCCUUCCUAUGAGGUGCAUGAAAAUAUACCAUUCCUUUUUGCUGCAGCGAGAAAAUCCAAGUAACCAAGGAAAGCUACAAUGAGCAGGAGCAGGUAAUGCUAGGGAAAUUAUAUUCAGAAUGAAAUUUGGAACAAAAUAAAGCUACUUAGUUAAGAGCUUUGAAAAUGGAGGGCAACAUUUUCAAAAACAUAGGAUGUAGGUGCCGAGUUGCUCAGAUCUCGCACAUCAUCAAUAGGACUCAGGGCUUCUUCAUAUGUUGCAUUUUUAGAUGUAUGCCUAAGAUGUUUUAAUUGCACAUCUAAAAAUGCAAUGUGUGAACUUGGUGAUAGGGUUGCUGCAAUUGUCUGGGUUAAACUCUCACAUCUCUCACCUGUUUUUGCUUUUGUUUGUUUAUCAGAGGUUUGCUGUGGACCACUAUCAAGUGUACACUCAACAGAAAACCCAGGUUUUUCCCUCAUAAUGUGCAGAAUGCCCAAGCUUCUAAGGCUGCAACCCUAUGCACAGCUAUUUAACCCAUGUUUUAUUAAUGUGUUCAUCGCCGCUAUUCUGCUCUCCAGAGAUGAGAAUCCACACGCUGUCAGCAGGAAUGCUUGUGGAAACAACAGUGGUAAUGAGCCAUGACAACUACUAAACAGCAAUGAUGCUCUCAAGCUGCAGUCGGUCCACAGCUAAGGAAAAGGGUGUGGGAAGGGAGCAAAAACCACGGGAAGAGAAGGAAAGUAACAGCUUAAGGACAUAAUUAUUCAAAGCCUGCACAGGACAAAGGACAGUGAGAGAGGUAGGAAGCAUGAUGGUGAAUCAGGACAAGUUCAAUUCGAAGUUCUUCCUGUGGAGUUUGCAUGUGUUUUCCACAACAGCAGCUGUUUCUUUUACUCGCGUAUCAAUGUAGCAGGGGAUGUGUUCCAACUUGGUCAGACUUUUUGCAUGAUUGGCACUUGAGGGGCCAGGGUUCAGCUUCUUUCCCAAUCCCGUUCUGUUUGUGUUGGAGCCAUUUGUAUAAUUAUGAGCAACUAAAGCCCCUGAGUCUGCUGCUAGGGUUCAAAUCUUUGAAGGGGCAGGGAGGACUAGGGAUUUCUAUAUUCUUAGCUCCUUUCUCAAACUACAAUUUGAAAAAUUCUUUACAGAAAACCAUGACAGACAGUUGUAUAUGACAGGCCUGGCUUACAGUAUAUGCUCUGCUCUAAACUGCAAACGGUAAUUACAUUUGUAGUUGAAAUAUCCUGCUAGCAUAAAUAGAACACUAGCCACAAAUUCUUGCAUACAACUACUUAAUUCAAGCAGAAAAUUGGUCAGGUCUUUCACGAAGUAGAGAAGCAGCCUCUUCUGACCAAGGAAAUCUCGAGGUGUUUGCAUGGUCUAGUCACACGUUCACUUUUGCAAAGAUCCAUUCUCUUGUUCCAUGAGCUCCUCCCAAAGUCUUGAGUGUUUAGCCAUUAAGCAUUCUCUUGAGUAUUUAACACGUUGGCAGUCAAAAUGUUGAUCAAAGGUGGAAAAGAAGUGACACUCCCGAUUGUGCUUAACCUGAUGGGAAUGUUUUGUACAUAUUUAGAGGUACGGGAAAUAAUAUUUGUGUAAAUAAAUAGGCUGUAAUCCAGGGUUGAAUGUGUAUUGCCCCUCCAUUAGAGGCAAUAUAGUACCAAGGAGCUGCAUGGCCAAAGAGUAAAUCCAGUUCCCCCUCUCUAUCCCAUCCUGUCAAACAGCUGAUGGACACUAAUCAAGCAGCAGAACAGCAUGUACUGUAUAUGCCCCUUAUCUGAAGCUGGGCAAUAGUACUUCCAGUCUAAUCUCGAAGUCUAGUUUGAGGUUGGGUGAACUAACAGCUUGGUUUAGGGGAUGUUUUGCACAUGUUUCUUUCAGGAUGCCAAGCAAAUCACCUGGACCUGAACAUUUGGUAUUGAAAAAAAGAGCACAUGUACACUAGUACAUGUAGACUACUUUGGCUUCCUAUGCUAGCCAAUAUCUCUUAAAAGACAAAACGUUACGGGGUGUAAUACAGCCUGAAAACAUUACUCACAGUUUCUUCAGUUACAUUAACACAGGGAAAGAGAAACAGGAAAAUGACUACUUAUAUAAAACUGUAAUUUUUUCCCCAAUGAGGAAGUUGCUAUGCAAUCUUCUGUAUUCUUCCUUGAGACCAUUUGAUUUAGUUCUUGUAAAAUAGCAGUUACAAGCUCUGGAUCAUGGAUCCUAUUUGCAGUGAGCCCUAUCCUGCUUGGAUAUCACAUCACAAAUUAAUGAAGUGAUAUUCUGCUGACAGCUUUUUAUGGGACAUGGUCUGGAAAGGAAUAACACAAAUUAAGUUCAAACAGAAAUGCUAUUUAAGAGAAUAUCCAGAGGAGAGUGACAGAAAACUAUUUUCUUCCUUUUUCCUACUGACCAAGAGUUCUUAUCUGACAUAAUUUUUUCCAAUGGCCUAAAUUUCUCCUCCAAGAAGUAAUAUUCCAUUAUUUCCUUUUGAAUGUAUGGUCCCUUGCAGUACAAAAUAGGAGACAACCCUUUCCAGCUUUAGCAGGCAGCCACUAGACUACUUUACUUGAGAAUGCUCAGAGUGUGUGAAUAUAUUUUGUAUAAAUUUCCACACAUUAUUAUUUGCAUACUAUUAUUUAGUUUGUAAGACAGAACCCAGAAAGAUUUUCUGCUUCCAGACUUAAACCUAAACCAGGGUUGAUCUUGCUUUUCACAUAUGAUCUGACUUCAGUGAGCAUGAAACUGAAACUGCAGCUUUAAGUAGAAAACAUUUCCAAAGAAGUCCCACUCAACGGUAAAAGCUUGAGAGUUCAGAAGCAUGCUCCUUGAUCCAAUGUGCUGUCUGCAAAGACAAAUUGCAGUAAAAUGACAUGUUGAACUCACUUCACAUCCUCUAUACCCUUAUUGAUACAUAACUAGACUCUCUGUAUUUCCAUGAUCUGUUGAAUUCACCAUGGUGGAAACUUCUAUUAGUCUGCAGAUUUGAAAAACAACUUCUUUAUACUUGCCACAGUCUGUGCAAAAUCUUCUCUCUUAGCUUUUCUCAUUACUUAGAGAAUAUUUUAUUUUGCCCAAGCAAGUCUUAGUCCCUUGCUGUUUCCUUUUGUAUGGUGGUGAUAAACUAGGGUGAUUCACAAAAUGUCCAGAGAGAAUUAUACACAGUUUAUUUUACAUUUAAAAAAUUGAUGAUUGAACAUGAAGAAGAGUCCUCGUGCAUCUUGUAGAGAAGAGACAUGGCCGAUGGACUCCGAAUAUGGUUUUUAUGCACAGUAGGUAUCUGCCUUGACAACCUGACAAUACAUGGUCAUUGCAAAUGUCAAUCCAAGAAUCUGUAGGAACAAAAAAGUAGUCAGGAUUAAGAAACAUACACCUCAAACCUUGUUAACAUGUAUUUAAAUAAAUACCCUGUCCUACUGACUAAAAA